rnacentral:rRNA from 1 species
UACGAAGGGGGCUAGCGUUGUUCGGAUUUACUGGGCGUAAAGCGCACGUAGGCGGAUCGUUAAGUCGGGGGUGAAAUCCUGGAGCUCAACUCCAGAACUGCCUUCGAUACUGGCGAUCUUGAGUCCGGAAGAGGUGAGUGGAACUCCUAGUGUAGAGGUGGAAUUCGUAGAUAUUAGGAAGAACACCAGUGGCGAAGGCGGCUCACUGGUCCGGUACUGGACGCUGAGGUGCGAAAAGCGUGGGGAGCAAACAGGGAUUAAGAAACCC